rnacentral:rRNA from 1 species
CCUACGGGAGGCAGCAGUGAGGAAUAUUGGUCAAUGGGCGUAAGCCUGAACCAGCCAAGUCGCGUGAGGGAUGAAGGUUCUAUGGAUCGUAAACCUCUUUUAUAAGGGAAUAAAGUGUGGGACGUGUCCUGUUUUGUAUGUACCUUAUGAAUAAGGAUCGGCUAACUCCGUGCCAGCAGCCGCGGUAAUACGGAGGAUCCGAGCGUUAUCCGGAUUUAUUGGGUUUAAAGGGUGCGUAGGCGGCCUUUUAAGUCAGCGGUGAAAGUCUGUGGCUCAACCAUAGAAUUGCCGUUGAUACUGGGAGGCUUGAGUAUGUUUGAGGCAGGCGGAAUGCGUGGUGUAGCGGUGAAAUGCUUAGAUAUCACGCAGAACCCCGAUUGCGAAGGCAGCCUGCCAAGCCAUGACUGACGCUGAUGCACGAAAGUGUGGGGAUGAAACAGGAUUAGAUACCCCAGUAGUC